CAAUAGCGUAUAUUUAAGUUGUUGCAGUUAAAAAGCUCGUAGUUGGAUUUCGGGUGGGACGCAGCGGUCUCGCAUUGCGUUUGUACUGCUGCAGCCCUCCUUCUUGCCGGGGGCGGCCUCUCGGACUUCACUGUCUGGGGGUCAGAAUCGGCGAUGUUACUUUGAGUAAAUUAGAGUGUUCAAAGCAAGCUUACGCUCUGAAUAUAAUAGCAUGGGAUAACACGACUGGACUCUGGCCUAUCGUGUUGGUCUAUAGGACCAGAGUAAUGAUUAAGAGGGACAGUCGGGGGCAUUCGUAUUCCGUUGUCAGAGGUGAAAUUCUUGGAUUUACGGAAGACGAACAUCUGCGAAAGCAUUUGCCAAGGAUGUUUNCAUUG
rnacentral:rRNA from 1 species